GACGAACGCUGGCGGCGUGCUUAACACAUGCAAGUCGUACGGUAAGGCCCUUUCGGGGGUACACGAGUGGCGAACGGGUGAGUAACACGUGAGUAACCUGCCCACAACUUUGGGAUAACGCUAGGAAACUGGUGCUAAUACUGGAUAUGUGCUCCUGCUGCAUGGUGGGGGUUGGAAAGCUCCGGCGGUUGUGGAUGGACCCGCGGCCUAUCAGCUUGUUGGUGGGGUAGUGGCCUACCAAGGCGGCGACGGGUAGCCGGCCUGAGAGGGUGACCGGCCACAUUGGGACUGAGAUACGGCCCAGACUCCUACGGGAGGCAGCAGUGGGGAAUAUUGCACAAUGGGCGCAAGCCUGAUGCAGCAACGCCGCGUGCGGGAUGACGGCCUUCGGGUUGUAAACCGCUUUCAGCAGGGACGAAGCUUUUUGUGACGGUACCUGCAGAAGAAGCACCGGCUAACUACGUG
rnacentral:rRNA from 1 species